AACGAACGCUGGCGGCGCGCCUAAUACAUGCAAGUCGAGCGAGAAGGUGUAGCAAUACACUUGUAAAGCGGCGAACGGGUGAGGAAUACAUGGGUAAUCUACCAUCGAGCGGGGAAUAACCAACCGAAAGGUUGGCUAAUACCGCGUACGCCUCCGAGUCUUCGGGUUCGGAGGGAAAGCUGCACUGUGAGUGUAGCGCUCUUUGAUGAGCUCAUGUCCUAUCAGCUUGUUGGUAGGGUAACGGCCUACCAAGGCUUUGACGGGUAGCUGGUCUGAGAGGACGAUCAGCCACACUGGCACUGCGACACGGGCCAGACUCCUACGGGAGGCAGCAGUAAGGAAUAUUGCGCAAUGGGCGAAAGCCUGACGCAGCGACGCCGCGUGGGGAUGAAGGUCUUC
rnacentral:rRNA from 1 species